rnacentral:rRNA from 1 species
GUACGGAAGGCAGCAGUGGGGAAUCUUGCACAAUGGGGGAAACCCUGAUGCAGCGACGCCGCGUGAGCGAUGAAGCCCUUCGGGGUGUAAAGCUCUUUCGGCAGGGAAGAUGAUGACGGUACCUGCAGAAGCAGCUGCGGCUAACUACGUGCCAGCAGCCGCGGUAAUACGUAGGCAGCAAGCGUUGUUCGGAGUUACUGGGCGUAAAGGGUGCGUAGGCGGUUGUUUAAGUUUGGUGUGAAAUCUCCCGGCUCAACUGGGAGGGUGCGCCGAAUACUGAAUGACUAGAGUGCGGGAGAGGAGAGUGGAAUUCCUGGUGUAGCGGUGAAAUGCGUAGAUAUCAGGAGGAACACCGGUGGUGUAGACGGCUCUCUGGACCGUAACUGACGCUGAGGCACGAAAGCGUGGGUAGCAAACAGGAUUAGAUACCCCGGUAGC